AAAAUCAGGGCCGGGCGCAGUGGCUAACGCCUGUAAUCCCAGCACUUGGGAGGCCCAGGCGGGUGGAUCAAAGGUCAGGAGUUCAAGACCAGCCUGGCCAAUAUGCAAUAUGGUGACACCCCGUCUCUACUAAAAAUACAAAAAUUAGGUGGGCCUGGUGGCACGUGCCUGUAGUCCCAGCUAUCCUGGAGGCUGAGGCAGAAGAAUCACUUGAACCAGGGAGUUAAAGGUUGCAGUGAGCUGAGAUCAUGCCACUGCACUCCAGCCUGGGCGACAGAGUGAGACUCUUUCUCAAAAAUAAUAAUAAAAAAAAGAAGGUAUGAAAAUCAGACACAUGCCAUCUUUUUAGUUCCUAAGGCUCUCACAAGAUUAUUUUGAAUAAACACCACCCAUUCAAACUGGUUUUUCCCUUUCCUGUAUUAUAUGAAGGGGAAAAUCCUCAUGGGAUGGAUAGUUUCCAGAAUUUGCCCAUUUCCAAGCCAGUACAGUAAAUGACACUGGGGCCGCUGAGUGGACCACUGUAGAAAGCAAUGGUUCUUGUUUCUUAUUUUUUACAUUAUUUUCAGGGAUGUGUGUCCCAUCAAAGUCUCAUUACGGAGGAGUUGAAUUUUCCCGGGACACCUAUGGCAGGGCUGCCAGACACCAGCCUAAACUGCUCUCACUCUCAUUUCCAGACAAAGUGCCUCCGGUGGCCUGUAGGGAGCCAUGGGCAAUCACAGCAACCCUCUCUGAGGCCAAGGAAGUUCAGGUAUGAGCUGUACCUGAGGCUGCCCUGGCCUCUCCUCUCCCUUCAGUCCUCACUGGGUGUCUUCUCACCCUGCCCUCUGCCAGCUCCACUGCUUUCCCUGCUGGGUUUCAUUGCUUGUGCAAGGAAGAUACGGAAGGAGCCCAGCCACACAAUGGGUUGGUUCUUUCUAGCCCUUCCCAGACUGACUAUAGGCCAGCGGGGUCUGUAUCUAGAAAUCUUUUAUUACUCUUAAGUUGAACAGUUUAAUGAUUAGUCAUUUUAAUUUAGAGUUGAGAUUCCAUUAGUAUUUGACUGUGGCCUUCUUAUUGAGAACUCUGUUCAACUUUGAAAUGCCAAAGCAGGAGCCUUUGUUCUUUGAUCCUGCCGUGAGUUAAGAAAUUCUGUAUUUCUUCAGAAGUGUUUCAUUUUGUGUAAUGAAGUCAAGGGUUAGAGUGACUCAGUGUUCCAUGAGUUAAGUGUCUUUGUAGAAUGAACAGUAAACUUAUCUCCU
rnacentral:lncRNA from 1 species